UUAUCAUCGAUUUUUAGAAGAUCGAUUGGGGGAAGCAGCCGACAUAGGCAGACACGAGGUUCGAACAAAAUCACGUGAGGGUUUCAAGGAUCACAACCGACAUGCGCGGCUAAUCUCCUAAGGGUUUCACCCUGUGUAGACUUUGGUCCACCUGAUACAUCAGAUAGUCAACAGCUGAUAUUGUUCAGGUUAGCAGGAUGCUGUAUCUAACGUGGAUAUAACGUUUACACUGACUACAACCUACCAUGACUAGACAUGUCACAAGUGUU
rnacentral:lncRNA from 1 species